rnacentral:rRNA from 1 species
UACAGAGACCUCAAGCGUUAUCCGGAAUCAUUGGGCGUAAAGCGUACCGCUAGGUGGUUUUACAAGUCAGAGGUGAAAUCUCUCAGCUCAACUGGGAGAAUGUCCUUUGAAACUGUAAAACUAGAGGGGCAAAGAGGAAGCUAGAACUAACGGUGUAGGGGUAAUAUCCGUUGAUCUCGUUAGGAAUACCAAUAGCGAAGGCAGGCUUCUGGGUGCCACCUGACACUUCUAGGACGAAAGCGUGGGGAGCAAAAAGG